GGGCUCGUAGCGCAGCUGGUAGCGCGCUUGCUUUGCAAGCAAGAGGCCGCGGGUUCAAAUUUUUUUUUGAAAGUCCCGCCGAGUCCA
rnacentral:tRNA from 1 species